CAGUUCACAACCGGUCAGAGGGACAAAAUUGAGAACCAUGCAGAUCAGCAAGUGUGAGUUACACUCUAAUGAGGAACAGGACAUCUGAAUUGGAAAAUUGCAAGGUUUCCGACUGCCCAAGCUGUUUAAGUACCGGUAUCACAACAAGUACCAAGACGGAAGAAAUAUAAAGGCCAAGUUAAUAUGUAGUUACUUUAAAUUAAUUUGAAUAGAUAUAUCAACAAAGCAUUGAAUGUUCUUUAAACUGCAUAUCUGUAGAAAGAGUGCAGUUCAAGUUCAGAUUCAUCAGCGGGCAAUGAUAUUAAAGUAUACAAAAUUUCACACAUAAUACAAGUACAAAAUAUUUUUUUUCCAAUGGGCAAAUGUAUCAACUUUUAUUAAUAUUUAAUACUUAUACUAGUUCUUAGAAGUUUCCAUGAAAUUAAAUAUAAUUUCCAGUUUAAAGGCCUAUUGUAUACAAGACAAAAAUUUAUAUUUUGAAAUAAAAAUCAUGCGUAAAUAAAUGUUAAUAAAGGUGAUCAGAGGAUUAAGAAAUUA